GGAAGCCAUCUGUGAAGCUCCCUCUCACCCGAUCAGGGUGGUCCUCUGGCCCGAUCCCUCCUACAAGACACAGACAGUACACAAAGAAGCUCCAGUCUGCCAGCCCUGUGCCCAGCUGAGGCACACAGUUGUGGUAGUCCUCCAUGUUUGCCCUCCAGCCCUGCAUGCUGCACAGAGCGUAGGUCAGGCCCCAGCAGGAGCAACCCUCCUCAGUCAACUUGUCCAGGAUGGGACGGUCCAGCUGCCGGACAAAUGCAGGCAUCUCCAUGCUCCCCUUCCGUGCAGUCCUCAUGGCUACAGCAGCUGACAGUGUGGACUGGGCGUCUUCUCUCCCUCCUGUGGGCCGUUGGCUAGGCCUGUACCCUGCUGUGUGCUGCCUGUAUAGGCCCGUUGCUCCAGGCCUCUCAGAGUAUGGGUGCCCAGGUUGAUGCUGUUGGUCUGGCUGACGUAUUUUCUCUGUGUUGAUGCUUCUAGCUGCUCACCCCCCUCUCUCUCUUCUCUCUUCCUGUUCUCUCUGGAAAUCUCACUGAUCUGCACUCUCUCCCAUUUUUAUACCUUCUCUGUCUUUGUUAGCGCUGCCUCUACUCUGUAGUCUUUUGAUUUCACCUUCUCUAUCUUUUUUCAUAGCUCUUCCCUUUCUCCAUAUUUUUGCUAGCCUUGUUAUUUUCACUGCCUCCUCUGUGAUUGCUUGGCUAUUUAUGUUCACCAAUCCCAGAGCAGCAUAGCUCAUCCAUGUCAUGCAUGCACUGUCACUCUCCCUCUCUCCCUGCCUGUCUUCCUAUCUGUGCCUCUGUUUUUCAUUCCUCCCCUUCCAGCUCUCUGGUAAUCUCAACCUUUAAUGAGUCUGGAUUAUCAAGCUUCUACGCCUGCAGAUUAGAGGAGUGUCAGCCUUUUAUAAUAGCAGCACAGACAGCAUGUGAGAGGGUGGAACUGGGAGAGAGAGACGGAGGGACUGGGAGUAAGGAAGUGAAGGAGGCAGGGAAAGAGAGAGACAGGAAGAGAGAGCGAAAGAAGGCUAAUUUACAUUAUGCAUUGAUGCUCCCUUUGAAACCCAUUAUGAGCCAUGCGGUGGUUCAUUUUUUGUGUUUUACUUUGCCUUAAGCUGAAUCUGUGAAUGACGCACUUAGCUCUGGCCUUGGCCAGUAUUCAUUUAGAACUUGCCUGACACUAUUCCUACCCAUUAUUCAUAUGCAAAUAAAUACUGAACCCUG